AACGCUAGCUACAGGCUUAACACAUGCAAGUCGAGGGGAAACGACAGGGAGUGCUUGCACACUCUGGGCGUCGACCGGCGCACGGGUGAGUAACGCGUAUCCAACCUGCCCACCACUUGGGAAUAACCUUGCGAAAGUAAGACUAAUGCCCAAUGAUAUUGAGUGCAGACAUCUAAUCUCAAUUAAAGAUUUAUCGGUGAUGGAUGGGGAUGCGUCCGAUUAGCUUGUUGGCGGGGUAACGGCCCACCAAGGCAACGAUCGGUAGGGGUUCUGAGAGGAAGGUCCCCCACAUUGGAACUGAGACACGGUCCAAACUCCUACGGGAGGCAGCAGUGAGGAAUAUUGGUCAAUGGGCGAGAGCCUGAACCAGCCAAGUAGCGUGCAGGAUGACGGCCCUAUGGGUUGUAAACUGCUUUUAUAAGGGAAUAAAGUGAGCCUCGUGAGGCUUUUUGCAUGUACCUUAUGAAUAAGGACCGGCUAAUUCCGUGCCAGCAGCCGCGGUAAUACGGAAGGUCCGGGCGUUAUCCGGAUUUAUUGGGUUUAAAGGGAGCGUAGGCCGGAGAUUAAGCGUGUUGUGAAAUGUAGGCGCUCAACGUCUGCACUGCAGCGCGAACUGGUUUCCUUGAGUACGCACAAAGUGGGCGGAAUUCGUGGUGUAGCGGUGAAAUGCUUAGAUAUCACGAAGAACUCCGAUUG
rnacentral:rRNA from 1 species